rnacentral:rRNA from 3 species
GACCCUAUAGAGUUUAAUAUUUUAUUAAUAAAUUAUUUUUUAGAAUUUAAUAUUAAUUUAUUAAUUGAAUAUUUGAUUGGGGUGAUUGAAAAAUUUAAGUAACUUUUUUUAUAUUUAAACAUUAAUUUAUGACUAUUUGAUCCAUUAUUUAUGAUUAUAAGAUUAAAUUACCUUAGGGAUAACAGCGUAAUUUUUUUUAAGAGUUCAAAUCGAAAAAAAAGAUUGCGACCUCGAUGUUGGAUUAAAAUUUAUUUUUGGUGUAGAAGCUAAAUUUAUUGGGUCUGUUCGACCUUUAAAAUUUUACAUGAUCUGA